AGGGAAUAUUGGGCAAUGGAUGCAAGUCUGACCCAGCCACGCCGCGUGCCGGAUGAAGGCCCCCAGGGUUGUAAACGGCUUUUAUUCGGGAAGAAGAGCAGGGAUGCGUCCUUGUGUGACGGUACCGAAUGAAUAAGCACCGGCUAACUCCGUGCCAGCAGCCGCGGUAAUACGGAGGGUGCGAGCGUUGUCCGGAUUUAUUGGGUUUAAAGGGUGCGUAGGUGGCUAAUUAAGUCAGUGGUGAAAUACAGCCGCUCAACGGUUGAGGUGCCAUUGAUACUGAUUAGCUUGAAAUAAUUGGAGGCUGCCGGAAUGGAUGGUGUAGCGGUGAAAUGCAUAGAUAUCAUCCAGAACACCGAUUGCGAAGGCAGGUGGCUACGAUUUAUUUGACACUGAGGCACGAAAGCAUGGGGAGCAAAC
rnacentral:rRNA from 1 species